GCAAGUCGAACGGUAACAGGAAUUAGCUUGCUAAUUUGCUGACGAGUGGCGGACGAGUGAGUAAUGCUUGGGAACAUGCCUUGAGGUGGGGGACAACAGUUGGAAACGACUGCUAAUACCGCAUAAUGUCUACGGACCAAAGGAGGCAACGUCUCUCGGCUUUAGAUUGGCUCGAGUGGGAUUAGCUAGUUGGUGAGGUAAUGGCUCACCAAGGCGACGAUCCCUAGCUGGUUUGAGAGGAUGGUC
rnacentral:rRNA from 1 species